rnacentral:rRNA from 1 species
GUCUACAGCCAUGCCACCCUGAACGCGCCUGAUCCCAUCUGAUUCGGAAGCUAAGCAGGGUCAGGCCUGGUUAGUACUUGGAUGGGAGACCACCUAGAAAUACUGGGUGCUGUAGGCU